rnacentral:tRNA from 1 species
GUCUCUGUGGCGCAAUUGGUUAGCACAUCUGGCUCUUAACCAAAAGGUUGGUGGUAAGAGACCAACCAGGGAUG